UACGGAGGGUGCGAGCGUUGUCCGGAAUCACUGGGCGUAAAGGGCGCGUAGGUGGCGCGGGUAGUCGUCGGUGAAAGCUCAGGGCUCAACCCUGAGUCGGCCGGUGAUACUCCCGUGCUUGAGUGUGGUAGAGGCCAAUGGAAUUCCGGGUGUAGCGGUGGAAUGCGCAGAUAUCAGGAGGAACACCCGUGGCGAAGGCGGCUCUCUGGGACGGUACUGACACUGAGACGCGAAAGCGUGGGGAGCGAACAGG
rnacentral:rRNA from 1 species